UAUUAGUUCGGGAUAGCGGAUCGACAAUUAAUCGAGAUUUUUAAUAUUUUUAGUAUUAGAAAUAUUAUUAGAGUGUCGAGUAUUAUUUUGGGAAUUUUCAGAGCAAAUAAAAUUAGACCGUAAAAUAAGAGUUAACGAGUAAAUUUGGAGUUUUAAUAAAAUAAAAUUAUUGGGCUGUAAGUGUGCACGUGUGUUUUGAGAGGUGGCCCAAAUUGAAUAUUAGAGAAGUAUUAUAUUAGGUUUAGAAACAUUGAGUCAUAACACCAAUUAGAAGAACAAGCAGCAAAAGAGGGAGAAAUUAGGAGAGCAUAGCAGUGAACUCAGGAAGAGGAAUCUUGGGGAUUUUCGAUCGGGACGAUUUAGAGCAACCUUCGAUCCAAAGGUAAGGGUGGGAUUCUUGCUCUAUAAAUAGGGACAUGAUGGAUUGUAUGUGGGUUUGGGAAAUUUUGUUUGUCUCUAUGUUUUCAAUUGAAUUCUUUGUAUGUUUGAAGAAUUUCAUGAUUUACUGUGUUAGAUUUGUGAUGCUGAAAUUGUUUUAUUUGGAUUGAUCGAUGAUGUUAUGAAAUUAUGUCUGUGAGGGGUUAUAACUUCUGUGUAUAGGGGCGGGCAUCUUUGCUUGUUGGUAGAAGUCCCAUUUUGGGGACGGUGACCACUAGAUGGAGACGAGGGUCUUCUUUGAUGUCAAUAUAUGGUAGUAUAUUCAAUGGCUAGUAAGCACACUAUAUGACUAUAACUAGGUGAUAUAUUAUAUGGAGAAUUUGAAAUCAAUUAAUUAGUUAAAUGAAUUAGUAUAAUAUUUCAUGAUAGUAUCAUUAAGCCAUAGUUAUGGUACCUGGCACUUUAUGAUGGAAGUAAAAAACAAAAAUAGUGGUAGUAGAGUAUUAGAAAUACAAAACAGUAAAUAAAUAGAUGGCUAAAUAACAUGUUUUUAAUAAGUAGGGAAAUGCCAUUAGCAGAGUAGAUAAUUCGGUAAUAGCAUUAUAUAAAUUCUAAUGGUAUUCAGUAGGACAAUACUAUAACAAAUACUUAGUAUUUAGCAGGACAAAAUGCUUGUAGCAGUAACAGAACCAACUUGUGAGCAUAUCAGUGACCCAACUAAAAUUAAUAAUAGACUUGGGAAUUAAUUAACUGAAUAGUAUAAAUUUAGGCGAGUCCGUAAUUGAUUCGGUAUCCGUAAAUUGACGACAUUUUCGGCGAUGUUUUGACUUGUUGCAUAUUUUGAGAUAUUGUGAAUUUUGCGAUGUUGCAGGAAAUUAAAGUGACGAGUAAUUAUCAAUAAUGAUUGAUAUAUUUUGGCGACGUAGGCAAAUGCCUUAUGCGACGUUGUUUUGUGAUCGAUUGUGGUUGUUGCAUUUCAUAGUGUCUCAUAAAUUGCAUGUUGUAGCGACGGCCUGGAUUGGCAAAACAGCGACGAAGGCCUAUGCCUGUUUUUGAUGCCUCUUUUAUCUGGAAAUUGGCGAUGGGGGCUGAAGCCCUGGGUACCACAUGCAUGAUGCAUUAGUCGUGUCUCAUCCAUUUGCUUUAUUGCGACGUUGUGCGUGAUUAUGUGAUUUUGAUUUUUGAAUUGUUUGUGAUUGAAAUUGAGACGUGAGAUAUAUAUUAUGACUUGAACUGUAAUAUACUCUUUAUCAUGACUUUAUUUAUAUUGUUUGAUAUCUCACCCUUUGCUUGUUUUCGCCGUUGCCUUUAUACUGGUAACGUGCAGGUGAUGCUAGUGAGUGAAGGAUUAGCUGUCGCGAGUUGAGUCGGUUGUCGCUCUGAUACGUAGCACUCGGGGGGAUAGAACGAUUGUUUUUAUUAUUGUUUUAAUUUCUGAAUUUUAUUUAGUUUUGAUUUAAAUUGUAACUUAAAGUUACCGUGCAAAGAUGCUACGACUUGAUUUAAAUAUUUAUGAAGUUUGAUGAUUCCGCUGCGAAGUAAAUUAUUUGAUGAGGUGUUUUUGAGGAUUAAAUUAAUGUUAUGAUUUGUCCGCUAUCAUUUAAGUGCUAUGUAUCUAUGUGGAGGCGUAAUUGCCGUAAGUGAAUUAAAUGACGAAUGUGACAUCCUAUUUCAUCGUAUGAAUUUUUUUAAAAUACUCUGAUUUUCUGUAUAAAUUAUCGGGUAGAUUUGGGGUGUUACAUUAGUGGUAUCAGAGCAGGUCGGUCUGUACGGCCAGUGUCGAGUCGUAGUUAGUUAACAAUCGAGUAUUGUUAAUUACUUUUAUCUGACUGUUAUUUCUGUUGCAGUGCUAAGUUAAGAUGGCUGGGAGAAACGAUGCUGUGAUUGCUGCCGCUUUGGAGGCUAUGGCUCAGGCUUUGGCAAAUCAGCCAAAUGCUAAUGAGAAUGUUGGAUCCCGCAGUUUGGCGACUUUUCAGAGGGAGAAUCCGCCGGUCUUCAAAGGCAAGCAUGAUCCCGACAGCGCAUUGGAGUGGUUGAAGGAGAUUGAGAGAAUCUUCCGCGUGAUGGACUGCACUCAGGCGCAGAAGGUUCGGUAUGGAACUCAUAUGUUGGCAGUCGAAGCUGAUGACUGGUGGCUAGAGACUCGUCAGAGAUUGGAGGUGGCGGGUGAAGAGAUCACUUGGGAUGUGUUCCGCAGAGAGUUUCUGAGGAAGUAUUAUCCUGAAGAUGUUCGGGGAAAGAAAGAGAUUGAGUUCCUUGAGCUGAAACAGGGGAAUAUGGCAGUGACAGAGUAUGCUGCAAAGUUCACUGAGUUGGCUAAGUUCUACCCGUAUUAUGAUGGGGCGGGUGCUGAGUUUUCAAAGUGCAUUAAGUUUGAGAACGGAUUACGCUCUGAGAUCAAGAAAGCUGUUGGGUAUCAGAAGAUUCGUAUCUUUCCUAAUUUGGUUGAUAGUUGCAGGAUUUAUGAAGAAGAUCAUAAUGCACAUUACAAGCUUGUCAAGGAUAGGAGAGGUAAGCAGAACCGUAGCACACCUUAUGAUGCUCCAGUUGGAAAGGGAAAAGCAGAAGUGGCUAAUGGCAAGAGAACUAGUGGGGGAGGAGCUCCUGCUAGCGUGAUUUGCUUCAAAUGUGGAGAACCUGACCACAAGAGUGAUGUAUGUACUGCUGGGGAGAAAAGAUGUUUCCGUUGUGGUAAGACAGGACACGUAACUACUGAUUGUAGACAUAAGGAAGUUAUUUGUUUCAACUGUGGGGAAGAAGGGCAUAUUAGUAGCAAGUGUCAGAAACCAAAAAGGGAACCAGGAAGUGGAAAAGUAUUCGCUUUAGCUGGAACUCAAACAGCUAAUAAGGACAGGAAUACCGGAGGUGCGUAUUUCAUUAGUAAUACUUUAAUUACUAUCGUUGAUUAUUGGUGCUGCUAGUUGUUUCAAUGUUCCUAAUUGUGUUGAAUGAUUAGUAUGUUAGAUUUAAACCUUGUUGAGUUUGGUCGUUUCGAAGGAAUGGUAGUUAGAGUGUUGUCAAGCACAAUUUGGGAAUCGGAGAGUCGGAAACUAGAACGAAGUUAAGGAUGGUGGUAUCGGAUGAAUUUUCGAGGACGAAAAUCCUUUAAGUGGGGGAGAGUUGUAACGCCCGGAAAUUCGAUUAUUCGCUUAAUUUAGACGUUUGGAGUAUUUAGUGAAAUUUUUGUAUUUUAGGACAAUUUAGUCGGUAUUAGUUCGGGAUAGCGGAUCGACAAUUAAUCGAGAUUUUUAAUAUUUUUAGUAUUAGAAAUAUUAUUAGAGUGUCGAGUAUUAUUUUGGGAAUUUUCAGAGCAAAUAAAAUUAGACCGUAAAAUAAGAGUUAACGAGUAAAUUUGGAGUUUUAAUAAAAUAAAAUUAUUGGGCUGUAAGUGUGCACGUGUGUUUUGAGAGGUGGCCCAAAUUGAAUAUUAGAGAAGUAUUAUAUUAGGUUUAGAAACAUUGAGUCAUAACACCAAUUAGAAGAACAAGCAGCAAAAGAGGGAGAAAUUAGGAGAGCAUAGCAGUGAACUCAGGAAGAGGAAUCUUGGGGAUUUUCGAUCGGGACGAUUUAGAGCAACCUUCGAUCCAAAGGUGAUGCUAGUGAGUGAAGGAUUAGCUGUCGCGAGUUGAGUCGGUUGUCGCUCUGAUACGUAGCACUCGGGGGGAUAGAACGAUUGUUUUUAUUAUUGUUUUAAUUUCUGAAUUUUAUUUAGUUUUGAUUUAAAUUGUAACUUAAAGUUACCGUGCAAAGAUGCUACGACUUGAUUUAAAUAUUUAUGAAGUUUGAUGAUUCCGCUGCGAAGUAAAUUAUUUGAUGAGGUGUUUUUGAGGAUUAAAUUAAUGUUAUGAUUUGUCCGCUAUCAUUUAAGUGCUAUGUAUCUAUGUGGAGGCGUAAUUGCCGUAAGUGAAUUAAAUGACGAAUGUGACAUCCUAUUUCAUCGUAUGAAUUUUUUUAAAAUACUCUGAUUUUCUGUAUA